UGCAAGUCGAACGGUAACAUUUCUAGCUUGCUAGAAGAUGACGAGUGGCGGACGGGUGAGUAAUGCUUGGGAACUUGCCUUUGCGAGGGGGAUAACAGUUGGAAACGACUGCUAAUACCGCAUAAUGUCUUCGGACCAAACGGGGCUUAGGCUCCGGCGCAAAGAGAGGCCCAAGUGAGAUUAGCUAGUUGGUAAGGUAACGGCUUACCAAGGCAACGAUCUCUAGCUGUUCUGAGAGGAAGAUCAGCCACACUGGGACUGAGACACGGCCCAGACUCCUACGGGAGGCAGCAGUGGGGAAUAUUGCACAAUGGGGGAAACCCUGAUGCAGCCAUGCCGCGUGUGUGAAGAAGGCCUUCGGGUUGUAAAGCACCUUCAGUUGUGAGGAAAAGUUAGUAGUUAAUACCUGCUAGCCGUGACGUUAACAACAGAAGAAGCACCGGNNNNNNCCGUGCCAGCAGCCGCGGUAAUACGGAGGGUGCGAGCGUUAAUCGGAAUUACUGGGCGUAAAGCGCACGCAGGCGGUUUGUUAAGCUAGAUGUGAAAGCCCCGGGCUCAACCUGGGAUGGUCAUUUAGAACUGGCAGACUAGAGUCUUGGAGAGGGGAGUGGAAUUCCAGGUGUAGCGGUGAAAUGCGUAGAUAUCUGGAGGAACAUCAGUGGCGAAGGCGACUCCCUGGCCAAAGACUGACGCUCAUGUGCGAAAGUGUGGGUAGCGAACAGGAUUAGAUACCCUGGCAGUCCACACCGUAAACGCUGUCUACUAGCUGUGUGUGCCUUUANNGNGUGCGUAGCGAANCUAACGCGCUAAGUAGACCGCCUGGGGAGUACNGNCGCAAGGUUAAAACUCAAAUGAANUGA
rnacentral:rRNA from 1 species